GUAGGAGGCGAGCGUUGUCCGGAAUCAUUGGGCGUAAAGAGCGCGCAGGCGGCUCGGCAAGUCGGGUGUGAAAUCCCGGGGCUCAACCCCGGGACUGCAUCCGAUACUGCCGAGCUAGAGGUAGGUAGGGGAGAUCGGAAUUCCUGGUGUAGCGGUGAAAUGCGCAGAUAUCAGGAGGAACACCGGUGGCGAAGGCGGAUCUCUGGGCCUUACCUGACGCUCAGGCGCGAAAGCUAGGGGAGCGAACAGGAUUAGAUACCCUGGUAGUCCUAGCCGUAAACGUUGGGUGCUAGGUGUGGGCGGAUAUCGACCCCGUCCGUGCCGAAGCUAACGCAUUAAGCACCCCGCCUGGGGAGUACGGCCGCAAGGCUAAA
rnacentral:rRNA from 1 species